GAGCAAAACCGCCCCUGGAGGCAGCCGGAGCUGCGUUCAUGUCACACCAUGCUAUCCUGGGCUGCGUGGCGGGCACGCUGAGCCCGCGUGCACGGAGGAGAGGACUUUGUCCAUCUGCUGGAGAUGAGUCYAAAGGAAGCUCUUUUGGAACAACAACUUGGGGAUACAAGGGACAUGAAAGGAGAGCUGUCAUGGCAUGGCUUAACGAACACCCCUUUCCCCCGGACCCAU